UACGUAGGUGGCAAGCGUUGUCCGGAAUUACUGGGCGUAAAGGGCGAGUAGGCGGUUAAUUAAGUCAGGUGUGAAAACUGUGGGCUCAACCCAGAGAGUGCACCUGAUACUGAGUAACUUGAGUGCAGGAGAGGGCAGUGGAAUUCCUAGUGUAGCGGUGAAAUGCGUAGAUAUUAGGAGGAACACCAGUGGCGAAGGCGGCUGCCUGGACUGUAACUGACGCUGAGGCGCGAAAGCGUGGGGAG
rnacentral:rRNA from 1 species